AUCACUUCUAUUAAAAACUAGCAAACCCUACCUCCUCUUAUCCCCUUCUCUUGACGGCGCCACCAUGUCGCCUCCGCCCUCAACCCUAGCCGUAUCGCGCCCUCGCCCUGCCUCCAGCCCCGCGCAGUAUGCUGCUCGCUCCGGGCUCCGGUCAUCUGCCAUGCGUCGUUGGCUACUCGCCUGCUCCCAUGCUCCCUCCGGAUCUGCUGCUCUCGGUGAUUUGGCGCAGCGGCUUUGCGCCUCCACACUUGGUCGCCGGCCUCCUCACCUCCACAAGCCCACGUCGUCGCCGUCUCCUCUUCGCCAUCGCCCCGCUCGCCUCCUGUGCCAACGACCCGACCAACCUCGGCUCCUCCCUCUGCCCCUCCAUCCCAACUCCUGACAUCAAAGUGCACAGCUUCGCUGGCCCCAACGUGGCUCUGCCAAUGCCUCAAGCUCAAACAGCGAUUCUGUUAUGGCUGAAGCAGAACUUGCCUCAAAUGCUGCUGCUGGUGACACGGCGCGCGCAACGCCGGCAAGUCCUCGCUCACAAAUACCAUGGUUGGGACAAAAGUGGCUGCAGUUUCCCGCAAGACAAAUACUACGACUCACGAAAUUUUGGGGGUGCUAACAAAAGGGAACACAUAGAUUGUAUGUCAUAUUAUCAGGUUCAUUUAUUCUUCUGCUGGCAGCCGACUAGGAAAUGAAACCACAUUUUCAACUUUUGACUUAACCAUAUAUAUACUUUCCUUGAUUUUUUUAAACAUAACUAGGGCUCAUGUUAGGGCACCAUGGAUUUCCUUAUAGGGACGUCACAGUUCGUGUGGAGAGUGCCUGGAGCUCAAUUAACCUAUAUGAUUUACUAAUAGUCAUGUUCGAUGUCAAUAGGCAUCUUAAUUUGUUGAUCAGUUUUGCCUAGUCCCAGUACCAUACAAAGAUGUUCAGCUGGAUAUAAACAUUUCUCCACGUCUCUCUUCUGAAUACGUAAG